rnacentral:rRNA from 1 species
UACAGAGGGUGCAAGCGUUAAUCGGAUUUACUGGGCGUAAAGCGUGUGUAGGUGGUGACGUAAGUCGAUUGUGAAAUCCCCGGGCUCAACCUGGGAACUGCUUUCGAUACUGCGUGACUAGAGUACGGUAGAGGGUGGUGGAAUUUCCGGUGUAGCGGUGAAAUGCGUAGAUAUCGGAAGGAACAUCAAUGGCGAAGGCA